rnacentral:rRNA from 1 species
GAUGAACGCUGGCGGCGUGCCUAAUACAUGCAAGUCGAGCGAACGGACGAGAAGCUUGCUUCUCUGAUGUUAGCGGCGGACGGGUGAGUAACACGUGGAUAACCUACCUAUAAGACUGGGAUAACUUCGGGAAACCGGAGCUAAUACCGGAUGAUAUUUUGAACCGCAUGGUUCAAAAGUGAAAGACGGUCUUGCUGUCACUUAUAGAUGGAUCCGCGCUGCAUUAGCUAGUUGGUAAGGUAACGGCUUACCAAGGCAACGAUGCAUAGCCGAUCUGAGAGGGUGAUCGGCCACACUGGAACUGAGACACGGUCCAGACUCCUACGGGAGGCAGCAGUAGGGAAUCUUCCGCAAUGGGCGAAAGCCUGACGGAGCAACGCCGCGUGAGUGAUGAAGGUCUUCGGAUCGUAAAACUCUGUUAUUAGGGAAGAACAUAUGUGUGAGUAACUGUGCACAUCUUGACGGUACCUAAUCAGAAAGCCACGGCUAACUACGUG